UUGCCCACGCGCCGCCACAAGCGCCGGCAGCGCUGGGUGUCCAAAGCGAUUACGUAUCGCCGGAAAAUCUCAAAACCACAGCUCAAGACUCCUACCCUAGGUAUAACACCCUAUUUGGAGCCACUUUUGUUCUUAAACCUACCCCAGAAACUGACCGGAAGUGGCCGAAAUCGCGAUUCCAAAAUCGGCCGAACCCUAACUUAAAAAUCG
rnacentral:lncRNA from 1 species